GACGAACGCUGGCGGCGUGCCUAAUACAUGCAAGUCGAGCGGACCCGACGGGAGCUUGCUCCCUUAGGUCAGCGGCGGACGGGUGAGUAACACGUGGGUAACCUGCCUGUAAGACUGGGAUAACUCCGGGAAACCGGGGCUAAUACCGGAUGCUUGAUUGAACCGCAUGGUUCAAUCAUAAAAGGUGGCUUUUAGCUACCACUUGCAGAUGGACCCGCGGCGCAUUAGCUAGUUGGUGAGGUAACGGCUCACCAAGGCGACGAUGCGUAGCCGACCUGAGAGGGUGAUCGGCCACACUGGGACUGAGACACGGCCCAGACUCCUACGGGAGGCAGCAGUAGGGAAUCUUCCGCAAUGGACGAAAGUCUGACGGAGCAACGCCGCGUGAGUGAUGAAGGUUUUCGGAUCGUAAAACUCUGUUGUUAGGGAAGAACAAGUACCGUUCGAAUAGGGCGGUACCUUGACGGUACCUAACCAGAAAGCCACGGCUAACUACGUGCCAGCAGCCGCGGUAAUACGUAGGUGGCAAGCGUUGUCCGGAAUUAUUGGGCGUAAAGCGCGCGCAGGCGGUUUCUUAAGUCUGAUGUGAAAGCCCCCGGCUCAACCGGGGAGGGUCAUUGGAAACUGGGGAACUUGAGUGCAGAAGAGGAGAGUGGAAUUCCACGUGUAGCGGUGAAAUGCGUAGAGAUGUGGAGGAACACCAGUGGCGAAGGCGACUCUCUGGUCUGUAACUGACGCUGAGGCGCGAAAG
rnacentral:rRNA from 1 species